CCCUGAGUAUGCGAUCAGUAUUCAGUUUCUCCUAAAGAAAACUACUAUAAAAGUGACUGACUUGAACUAACUUAAUUUAUAUGCUUACAUCAUAAUUGAUAACAUCAAUAAUCAUGGAAAACAGCACAAUCCAUAAAAUUUUGUGAAUGGGCAUAAGAAAGAACAAAUCACUGCCCAGCUGACAUUAUUCUCUAUGGUUUUUGUAUUUACACAAAAAAUAGAUAAGUGAUAGCAAAUAUCAGUAAAAUAUAAUUAAAGAAAGCUAACAAAUAAUUAAAUGGGAAAAUGUAUAUAUAUUAUGUAUUUGUGUUAUAAAACUGUCUUGAUCCCAGUACAUUUGUUCGAUCUUUGUUUAUAAAAUGAAGACAAACUAGUGAUUUAUUAUAGUGAGAGUGUGCAAAUAUUAUAUUCAUAUUAAGCAAUAAAAUCAUUAUCAUAAUUGAAAACCUCACAAUUAUAUAACUUUUUUAAAUUCUACUUUUCAAAAUGUAUUCAUUUCAAUUAACAGAUGUCGGACAAUCAUCGAUGUAAGAUCUUAAGUCUGUACCACCUCGGGCUCAACAAACCAAAAAAGAUGGGCUCUAUUCCUUGCACUGUGCAGAUAACUGAAUUGUCAACAACAGCAAUGCACUGGAAACUGGUUCCUGACCACCUGUACCCAUAAACUUGGUGUGUCUACUGUGAAGGACCUGAUUUCAAGCUAUGACUCUCUAUCUACUUCAUAACCACAAGACAGGCACUAGUUAUUGAUAGACUUGUAAUCUCAUGUCAUUGCCAAGAAUAUAUUGUACAAUUUGUGUGUCAUGAAUGAUCAAAUACUACCACUCUAGAGGAAAAAUCAAUUAAACGUAAGCUUGACUUAUGUACAUAAGUAUCUACAUUAAAUUGUAUGAAAAGAAAA